CAACAAACCUGAAUUCAAGAUGUCAGAGGAUGAAUAUUCUUUUCUGAACGUCAAAAGAUCCCUGAAAAGAAGACUGUUGCAACACAGCACUCCAGUGGACUCGGCGCUUUCAAGAACAAUGUCACUUCCUACUGAUCUGACAGAUCAGUCAGUCAAGGACCCAGAUGUCACUAGGAGGGUUUAUGGAUCACCAGUGCCAAAACUAAACCUCAGCAGAUCACUAGCCCAGGCAUCAUUCGCACGUGUUGAAGCGUACUUCCCUCGCGUGUCCUCGGGCAGGCUUUCACCAGCGUUUGGCUCACAAGAAUUAAACAAAGAGAUAAGCCAAAGCUCUCAGGUUGUAUUUUCUAGAAGGAGGCUUUCCACAGUGCUGGCCUCUGAGGAAUCAAAUGAAGAGCCAAGUGAUAAAGUUGUCCCAAACAUGGAACCUCAAGCUUCUGCCACAGCAACUGAGGAGGACACAGUAACUCCCAAGAGUGGACCUUCAUGGCUUCUGACUGGAAUACCAGGGAUAAAAGAUAUCCCAAUAGGAAAAGCAAGAAAGAAUAGAACUGAUAAAGCCCUUGUGAGAAAGAAGCAAAGGCAGUGGCUGCUUCGCCAGCUUAAAGACAUUGAGGAAGCAACAGAACAUGAACUGACAAUUGAAGAAGCUUGAUUGAGCUACCCUCAGAAGUAGUGGUGUUGCAUCCUGCUUGUGAGCAUAGCUGCUCCCAACAAAGCACACACUCCUCUGUAGCAACUCUUCCUCUGCCCUCUAAAAAUGUUCCUUUGUGUGUGUGUGGUGUUAUUUGCUUGGUUUAUGGUUCUUUUUGCUUCUUAAAUGUAAGAGGAGUCAGAUAGAAAUGAAGAAGUGCCUCGGCAAGAAAGACAAUGUUAGUUUAUGAUGGCUGGAGGCCUGGAAUAAAGAAAGGAGAGAGAA